rnacentral:rRNA from 1 species
GACGAACGCUGGCGGCGUGCUUAACACAUGCAAGUCGAACGAAGUGGCGAACGGGUGAGUAACGCGUAAUUAACCUGCCCUGCAGAGGGGGACAACAGUUGGAAACGACUGCUAAUACCGCCUACCUAAGGAGGGGAUUGAGUCUGAUGCGCGAGUUGGAGGGGUAGCGGCCCACCAAGGCGAUGAUCAGUAGCCGGUCUGAGAGGAUGAACGGCCAAAUGGGGACUGAGACACGGCCCAGACUCCUACGGGAGGCAGCAGUGGGGAAUCAUCCGCAAUGGACGGAAGUCUGACGGAGCAACGCCGCGUGAGUGAUGAAGGGCUUCGGGUUGUAAAGCUCUGUUAAUCGGGACGCGGUACCGGAAUAGAAAGCCACGGCUAACUACGUGCCAGCCGCCGCGGUAAUAC